rnacentral:pre_miRNA from 1 species
UGUGUACUUCCUUCGUUCCAAAAUACUUGACUUCCAUUUGUCCAAAAAUGGAUGUACCUAUAUACUAAAACAUGUCUAGAUACAUAUAUAUUUUGACAAAUAGAAGGCAUGUAUUGUGCAACGGAGGGAGUAGAAU